rnacentral:lncRNA from 1 species
UUUUUUUUUUUUUUUUGAGGCACAUUAGAAAUAAUUCAUAAUGCACAAUCACUCAUACUUAGCAUUCUGAACUUUAUUUAAUUAAGUGCAAAAAGUAGAUGAUGAUUAGUAUGAUUACAUUUUAUCAUAAAGUAGCCUUGAAAAUGCUAAUACUGCAUUUUGACUGCCAUAGCCCCAGAAUCAUAGUCAAGAAAAAAAUGUACUAGCUUUGGUUUGCAAAUGCUUUAAAAGCUACACUAAUUAAAUUCUGCUAGUGGUGUUAUUCUGCAUGUUAGCACAAAGUCAUUGUUUGGAGAAGAUACCUUAUAAGUUAUAUUUGUGUGUUGUCCUUAACUAAAUGUGUUUAAGUUACCCAAAGAUUACUUAAGAGAAACUUUCCAUUUAGCAAAUUAAUUUAUCAUGUAAUAAAUGUCUGAGGCGAUGUCUGAAUGUUGUCCCUAAAUCAGACCUUCUUGAUUUCAGUACUUGUUUGUAGAUUUAUUCGCAUUGGGUGAAAGCUAAGUGCUGCUGAAGUGGGGCAUAAUUUGUAAUUGCAGAGAUGAAAAGAGCAUAUUACAAUUUUAAAUGCCCCAUGAUAGAUGCUUCUGACUUAUGAGCUUGGUAUUGAAUAUCUGGGAACAUACUAUGCCAUGAUUAAUUGCAACAUAUUCUGUAAAACCGUUACUUAAAGCUUUAUUCUUCUAUGGUUUUUGUAUAUAAAAAUUAUGAAAAAUACAUCUUGAGAGCUAUUUCUUCAGUAAAAUAAUUACACGGCACAGAGAAUCUACUUAUUUUUUUACCAGUUAUAGAGCACGUCUCCAUUCUGACUGAUCUUUGGUUUAAACUUUUAGAAGACAGUCUCAUAGAAAUAGCUUGAAUUUGAAACAUCUCAGGAUUUGGGGUAUUGAUUUUAGUGUGUUGAACAACAGAAUAUCUGUAUGCAUGGUAAAACUAUCUAAAACACAGGUUUGUUUAUGAUGGUUUGGAUCACACCACCGUACCAGAGGAUACACAGCAAAAGAUUAAUCCCUACCAAGGGAUGCACUCUGAAACUCAACAAGGUUUUUGCCUACUUUGGUUUGGGAGGAGAGGUGAGAGGCAUGCUUCCAUAUCUGUUUAAAUAAAGAUAAUAAAUAAAUCUGUUUGCUGAACUGCAAA